rnacentral:lncRNA from 1 species
UGUACUCAACUUUUGUAUGUUGAAAUUGUAAAGUGAAAAGUGAUGUAAUAUAGAGAUAAUGUAAGUUAUAUUUUGGGGUAAUGCAAGAAUGAUAUAGUAAAUGUAAAUGUGUUAGACUAGUGUUUGAUUCAAAUGAAAUCAAAUGACAUGUAUAUUGGAUGUUUAGUUAGUUUCGAUGCUUUCACUUGUGGUUAUUGUUUGCCUUCGUGCAAACCAUGUAUAACUCGCAAUUCUCCUUGUUGAUUUGCUUGUAUUAUACUUGUUGUUGGAGCCUUGGGCGGACAGGGGAGGUACUGUCCGUUCGGCGUCUGUCAUGUGCUCGAAUCCGACCAAAUUGGCGGAGCUCGGGGCGUGACAGAUAUGGUGGUAUCAGAGCGAUGUGAAAGCAAAAGUCUAGGAUGGACUUAGGGACCUUAGGAUUGGAGACCCUAGGAAUUAGGACGCGAAUAACAUGGACUUCGAUAUGCGAAGGCUAAUUGAUUGGGUUAUGAGUAGAACUUCUCUAGACGGAAAUAGAGAUGGAUUCAAGGGAACGUUUGUUUUCUUUCAAGUAUUAUGUGGGGCGGACGACUACAUAAUGCCGAGAGUAGGAAAUGAACGUGCUUGAUUGCUUUCGCUUGAUUGGGUAGUUGGUUGGAACGAGUAAGAGUCUCGGAUGUCGAGUAUUAAUGCGUGCGUUUCGUUUCAGGACAGAUGUCACCGAGACGCUAUACCCGACG